rnacentral:rRNA from 1 species
AUUGAACGCUUGCGGCAGGCCUCACACAUGCAAGUCGAGCGAGCGGCGGACGUGUGAGUAAUGUAUGGGGACUGCCCGAUAGAGGGGGAUAACUACUGGAAACGGUGGCUAAUACCCCAUACUAUCGGAUAACCCAUAUGGGAUUAGCUAGUAGGUGGGGUAAAUGCUCACCUACGAGAAGAUCUCUAGCUGGUCUAAUAAGAUGAUGAGCCACACUGGGACUGAGACACGGUCCAGAAUGCUACGGAGGCAGCAGUGGGGAAUAUUGCACAAUCGGAGGAAACCUGAUGCAGACAUGCCGCGUGUAUGAAGAAGGCCUUAGGGUUGGAAAGUACUUUCAGCGGGGAGGCGUUACCAGCAGAAGAAGCACCGGCUAACUCCGUGCCAGGAGCAGCGGUAAUUC